rnacentral:rRNA from 2 species
CGAACUCUGGUAUUGAUUGGUGCUUGCAUCAUGAUUUACAUUUGAGUGAGUGGCGAACUGGUGAGUAACACGUGGGAAACCUGCCCAGAAGCGGGGGAUAACACCUGGAAACAGAUGCUAAUACCGCAUAACAACUUGGACCGCAUGGUCCGAGCUUGAAAGAUGGCUUCGGCUAUCACUUUUGGAUGGUCCCGCGGCGUAUUAGCUAGAUGGUGGGGUAACGGCUCACCAUGGCAAUGAUACGUAGCCGACCUGAGAGGGUAAUCGGCCACAUUGGGACUGAGACACGGCCCAAACUCCUACGGGAGGCAGCAGUAGGGAAUCUUCCACAAUGGACGAAAGUCUGAUGGAGCAACGCCGCGUGAGUGAAGAAGGGUUUCGGCUCGUAAAACUCUGUUGUUAAAGAAGAACAUAUCUGAGAGUAACUGUUCAGGUAUUGACGGUAUUUAACCAGAAAGCCACGGCUAACUACGUGCCAGCAGCCGCGGUAAUACGUAGGUGGCAAGCGUUGUCCGGAUUUAUUGGGCGUAAAGCGAGCGCAGGCGGUUUUUUAAGUCUGAUGUGAAAGCCUUCGGCUCAACCGAAGAAGUGCAUCGGAAACUGGGAAACUUGAGUGCAGAAGAGGACAGUGGAACUCCAUGUGUAGCGGUGAAAUGCGUAGAUAUAUGGAAGAACACCAGUGGCGAAGGCGGCUGUCUGGUCUGUAACUGACGCUGAGGCUCGAAAGUAUGGGUAGCAAACAGGAUUAGAUACCCUGGUAGUCCAUACCGUAAACGAUGAAUGCUAAGUGUUGGAGGGUUUCCGCCCUUCAGUGCUGCAGCUAACGCAUUAAGCAUUCCGCC